UGCCGGGCCCUGUGCAGCGGGAACCUGUGAAACGCGUCAGGGCCGGAAGGCAGCAGCGCUAAGCGGAUCUUCUCGGGUGCCGCAGGUGUCCUGGCCGGC
rnacentral:SRP_RNA from 1 species